rnacentral:tRNA from 1 species
GGGGAAUUAGCUCAGUUGGUAGAGCGGUAGGUUCGCAAUCUACAGGUCAGGGGUUCGAAUCCCCUAUUCUCCA